UACGUAGGGUGCGAGCGUUAAUCGGAAUUACUGGGCGUAAAGCGUGCGCAGGCGGUUGUGUAAGUCAGAUGUGAAAUCCCCGGGCUUAACCUGGGAACUGCAUUUGAGACUGCACGGCUGGAGUGUGGCAGAGGGGGGUGGAAUUCCACGUGUAGCAGUGAAAUGCGUAGAGAUGUGGAGGAACACCGAUGGCGAAGGCAGCCCCCUGGGCCAUGACUGACGCUCAUGCACGAAAGCGUGGGGAG
rnacentral:rRNA from 1 species